CCGUCAUGACACAAAAACGCCCAUCGGGCGUUCCCGUCAUGACACAAAAACGCCCAUCAGGCGUUCCUGUAGCGUUUCAUCGAUCAAUCAAGAAGAGUACCCUGGCACAUGCUUUGUCCAAUGGACCAUGGAAGGGACUUUACUUGGCUGACGAGGACGCACCUCACCAGUAUCAGAGCAACAGCUGUGGGGUGUUUAUGCUGAUGUACGCAAUGUAUUCUACCCUCAAAAGCAAUAUGAUUUCAGUGAGGGGGACAUGCUCUCUAUCAGGAGGUGGUGGUUGGACAGCUGUUGGAGACCUUUAUGCUUGAAAGCCCUGCAGGACUAGCUGGCACACCAAGCUCACCCUCUCCAUCUCCCCAUCUCAGCCACACGCUCCAAUCUGGCACAACAGAGGACAGGCCAUUCUUACCACCCGAAGUCCUUCAGCAAAUUGUACAAGAGACGCUGAGACUGGACAUGGCGAUGCUUGGCGUGUUCAACAGGGUUUCAAACACAUUCCGAGAACUAAUCAAGCCUCUCCAUCCUUCCAUAUAUAUAAAUGACAGUUUGGCAGGGGACAUUAAGCUUAAUAAAGACAAUCUCAUAUACAUAACGGUUAGAAAGAUUUACAACAAUGCAGGCUGUGGCAGUGGCCUUGCGCUACGCCUCAAAGGCUUCUCAAAAAAGAAGAAUUGGCCAAGCGCACCCCUGGUACUGAGGAACGUUGCAUAUGGCAGGUUUGUCAUAAAAGAUGUCUGCCUAGCAUAAUGUUAUUUUAUUACUCCUUUUUCGUUUUAUUUGGGACGUCUUUUUUUGCAAUCCCUUCCAUUUGUAAAUGUACAUACUACUGUAGUAAAUGUAUCUGCCCAGAAA